UCCCUGGUGGUCCAGUGGUUAGCACUCUGCACUCUCAGAGCUGGGGGCCUGGGUUCAAUCCCUAGUCGGGGAA
rfam:Ovis aries breed Texel chromosome 9, whole genome shotgun sequence.